rnacentral:rRNA from 1 species
GAUGAACGCUGGCGGCAUGCCUAACACAUGCAAGUCGAGCGAACACAUGAGGAGCUUGCUCCUCUGGCGUUAGAGGCGGACGGGUGCGUACCACAUGGAUAACCUACCUCUCAGACAGGGAUAACAUCGGGGAACCGGAUCUAAUACCGGAAAAUAUAUUGAUCCGCAUGGGUCACUAGUGGAAUACGGUUUUGGUUUCGCUUAUAGCUGAAUCAGCGCCGCAUUAGUUACUUGGUAAGGUGACGGCUUACCAAGGCAACGAUGCGUAGCGGACCUGAGAGGGUGAUGCGCUACCUGGGAACUGAGACGCGUCCGCGACACCUACGGGAGGCAGCGAUAGGGACUCUUCCGCAAUGGGCGAAUGCCCGAUGGAGCAACGCCGGGUGAGUGAUGAAGGUCCUCGGAUUGUUAAGCUCUGUAGUUAGGUAAGAAGUAAUGCGUUUGUAUCCAUGCACGUCUUGACGGUACCUAGAGAAAAAGCCCCGGCUAACUCCGUG